CCUACGGGUGGCUGCAGUGGGGCAUAUUGGCCAAUGGGCGCAAGCCUGAUCCAGCCAUUCCUCUUUAUUUCUGAAGGCCCUAGGGUUGUAAAGCUCUUUUGUGCGGGAAGAUAAUGACGGUACCGCAAGAAUAAGCCCCGGCUAACUUCGUGCCAGCAGCCGCGGUAAUACGAAGGGGGCUAGCGUUGCUCGGAAUCACUGGGCGUAAAGGGUGCGUAGGCGGGCCUUUAAGUCAGGGGUGAAAUCCUGGAGCUCAACUCCAGAACUGCCUUUGAUACUGAAGAUCUUGAGUUCGGGAGAGGUGAGUGGAACUGCGAGUGUAGAGGUGAAAUUCGUAGAUAUUCGCAAGAACACCAGUGGCGAAGGCGGCUCACUGGCCCGAUACUGACGCUGAGGCACGAAAGCGUGGGGAGCAAACAGGAUUAGAUACCCCAGUAGUC
rnacentral:rRNA from 1 species